GCCAUAGUUCAGUGGCAGAGCAUCUGUUUUGCAUGCAGAAGGUGCUUGGUUCAACCCCCAGUAUCUCCA